rnacentral:rRNA from 1 species
AACUAACGCUGGCGGCGCGUCUUAAGCAUGCAAGUCGGACGGGAACCCGAGCUUCGGCUUGGGGGAGAGUGGCGAACGGGUGAGUAACACGUAGGUGAUCUGUCCCUGGGUGGGGAAUAGCCCAUGGAAACAUGGGGUAAUACCGCAUAAGGUCCUUGAGCCUUGGUUUUUGGAUGAAAGGAGCAAUUGUUCCGCCUGGGGGUGAGCCUGCGGUCCAUUAGCUAGUUGGUGAGGUAAGAGCCCACCAAGGCGACGAUGGGUAGCCGGCCUGAGAGGGUGAACGGUCACACUGGAACUGAGACACGGUCCAGACUCCUACGGGAGGCAGCAGCUAAGAAUCUUCCGCAAUGGGGGAAACCCUGACGGAGCGACGCCGCGUGGACGAUGAAGGCCGUGAGGUUGUAAAGUCCUUUUCUUGGCGAAGAAUAAGGGGAAGAGUGGAACGCUUCUCUGAUGACGUUAGUC